rnacentral:rRNA from 1 species
AACGAACGCUGGCGGCAUGCCUAACACAUGCAAGUCGAACGAAGCCUUCGGGCUUAGUGGCGCACGGGUGCGUAACGCGUGGGAAUCUGCCCUUUGGCUCGGAAUAACAGUUGGAAACGACUGCUAAUACCGGAUGAUGACGAAAGUCCAAAGAUUUAUCGCCAGAGGAUGAGCCCGCGUAGGAUUAGCUAGUUGGUGUGGUAAAGGCGCACCAAGGCGACGAUCCUUAGCUGGUCUGAGAGGAUGAUCAGCCACACUGGGACUGAGACUCGGCCCAGACUCCUACGGGAGGCAGCAGUGGGGAAUAUUGGACAAUGGGCGAAAGCCUGAUCCAGCAAUGCCGCGUGAGUGAUGAAGGCCCUAGGGUUGUAAAGCUCUUUUACCCGGGAUGAUAAUGACAGUACCGGGAGAAUAAGCCCCGGCUAACUCCGUGCCAGCCGCCGCAGUAA